AUCAACGCUGGCGGCGUGCCUAACGCAUGUAAGUCGCACGCACGACCUUCGGGUCGUGAGUGGCGAUACGGCUGAGUGAACACGUAACGAACCUGCCCGACCGUGGGGAAUAACGCGCGGAAAACGCGUGCUAAUACCGCGUACGCUGGAGGGAAGCCUUCAGGAAAGCCGCAAGGCGCGGUCGGAGGGGCGUGCGGCCCAUCAGAAUAGUUGGCGGGGUAAAGGCCCACCAAGUCGAUGGACGGGUCGCUGGUCUGUGAGGAUGAUCAGCCAGACUGGGACCUGAGAAGAACGGCCCAGGACAACCUACGGGUGGCCAGCAGCGAGGAAUCUUCCACUAAUGGGCGCAAGCCCGAUGGAGCAACGCCGCGUGGAGGGACGACGGCCUUCGGGUUGUAAACUCCUUUCGGGGGGGAUGAAACGGACAGUACUCCCCAGAAGCAGCCCCGGGCUAACUCUGUGCCAGCAAGCCGCGUAAUACAGGAGGGGGCAAGCGUUGUCCGGAAUACUGGGCGUACAGCGCGCGCAGGCGGUUUCGACGUGGCCGUGUGACAAGCGGGGGCUCCACCCCCGAGGGCCACGGUAAACGAGGUGACUGGAGGCAGGUAGAGGGAUGUGGAAUGCCCGGUGGAGCGGUGAAAUGCUGUAGAAAUCGGGCGCGAACACCAGCGGCGACCAGGCGGCAUCCUGGCCCUGACCUGACGCUUGAGGCGCGAGAGCGUGGGGAGCAACCGGAUUUAGAUACCCGGUAGUCCACGCCGUAAACGAUGUGAAACCCGGUGCUGGGGGGUGAUUGCGCCCCUCGGUGCCCCAGCUUACGCGAUGAGUUCAACCGCCUGGGGACUACGGCCGCAAGGCUAAAACUCAAGGAAUUGACGGGGGCCGCACAAGCAGCGGAGCGUGUGGUUUAAUUCGACGCAACACGAAGAACCUUACCAGGCUUGACAUGCCACUGCACGCGUGAGAAAUCACGUUCCUUCGAGGGUGUGGCACCGGUGCUGCAUGGCUGUCGUCAGCUCGUGUCGUGAGAUGUUGGGUUAAUUCCCGCAACGAGCGCACCCCUGCCCCGUGUUGCUUGUGUCACGGGGACUGCCGCUGGUUCCAGCGGAGGAAGGAGGGAUGAUGUUCCAAGUCCGCAUGGCCCCUACGCUGGGCGACACACACCUAUCAAUGGCCGAUGGAAACGCGUUGCGACCCGGCAACGGGGAGCCAAUCGUCAAGGUCGGUCUCAGUGCAGAUUGGGGCUGAAACUCGCCCCCAUGAAGGCGGAGUUGCUAGUAAACCGCGUGGUCAGCAUAGCGCGGUGAAUACGUACCCGGGCCUUGUACACCGCAGGCCCGUCCCGGUCAUGGGAGUCGGGAACAGCCUGAGGGUCCGUGGGCCGACCUGUUGAGGGGGGCAGCGGCGAGGUGGGCCUGGCGACUGGGACG
rnacentral:rRNA from 1 species